UUUGGGGUCUGGAAGGAACGACCAAGGAUGUCCCUGCGGUUUUUGAAAAGACAAAGUGGCUUCGUAUUUGGUACAUGAACAAGUUUCCCAACGGCUGGAUAACGAGGACAAAUUGGUAAAUUUCACAUUAUAUCGCUUUUCACUGGCUAGAAGACCCUUGAAACCCUGCGCAUUGGCUUCAUUCCCACUAUGACUUGUCAAUCGUCAUUUCUGAAUCGACCCAGAAAUCACUGAGGAAAGAAGCUAUUCUCUCUCGUUCUCUUCUCUUCUCCCUCACACUAUGCCACUUCGGUAUCUUCCCUUCUCUAUUUCACUAUAUCUCCCACCCAACGCAAGGUCUGCAUAAGGGAAGAGGCAAGUCAUCUUCCAUAGAGCUCCUCCAUCGCUGCAUCUUGAAGAACCUUCUCGAACGGCCCCAAACUAACGCCUGAAGCCUCUCAAUUUCAAACCCAUCAAGGAUUGCCUGAAGCUUCUCAUCUCUUCCCUUCGACGGUGGUUUCUUCUAAUCUUCAAACUCAAGGUCAUCUCUGAUGCAGCCUCGUCAAAGGCCAGGUUUGUGAGUUAUUGAAUUUCUCAAAUUUAACCCAGUUCUCUAGCCUCUGAAGAUUUGCCUGCGAUAAGAUUCCAAUCGCUGCUAUCACGGAUUGGUCUUCAAGUUGCAUGAUUUGCACAUCUUUCCUAUGGUCCUUGGUGAGGUGUAAAGGCCAUAUAUGCCCUCAUGAAGGGAGGAUGCAAAGGAGGUCAAGUUUAGGGAGGAGUUUGAGGGGGGCAGUGCUUGAGAGACACUCAGCACCAGGGGGGUUGCAUAUGAUAGUGAUAAGGAUACGCCUGCUGAUGUGGAGACAGAAGCAGACGCGAGAGAAACACUGCAUGCUAAGGCAGCCAACAAAGUUGCACAUUGGCAGGAGUAGGAUAAAGGCAGGGAGUUCAAGGAGCUGGUUCUUCAAGCAUACUUUGACAUGGCCAUCUUUGUGAUACAAUCAGAGGAAUGGUUCCAUUGGCGGCAACAAUCUUCUAGUGGUUUUGAGUCUCCUCGGAAAUCUAUGUGGUAUUGACAUUGGUGUACUGUUAAAUGGUUAUUCUUCGUCUUCAUUCUUAAUACAUAUUUCAAUUUCUUUUAUUGAA